CAACACAAGGUUUUGCAGGCAGGCUUGCAGCUGAAAUUGCUUACAUUAACAGUAUGAGCAAUUGCUUCCACCGUACUGAUGAGACCAGGAGAUGAACCUGGGAAUAACUCCAUGGGCAGUGGGAUCACAGACUUGCUGACAGGGUUGUAGAGCUGGAUGGCCUCAAGAGGUUGUGCAACCCAUUUCUUGCUGAACAUGGAAGCAACUAUGCUCAGGUUAUUCCUGGCAGAUAUUUGUCUAAUCUACUCUGAGGAAAUUUUGAAUGAUGGACAUUCCACAGCCUUUCACAGCAAUCUAUUCCCCUGCUUGACAUCUGUAAUGUACAUAAAUCAGAGAACAUUCAGAGAUGCUGAAAGGCAGAAAGAUCCUUGCCUCUUCUAACAAUUAAAAUAUAUUACUUACCUAAUUGUGAUGAUUUGGGUAUUUUUGACCUUGAUUUUUAUUUGUUACAUGUUUGCAGGUUUAUUUAUUACUCAGAUAUAUUGACAUAAAACUAAGAUCAGAUUCUCUAGAAUUAUGCUCUGGAUAACAGUGUUUGAUAUUAAUAUACAAGUCCAUCCAGAGGGUUCU